rnacentral:lncRNA from 1 species
UAUUUGUAAAAUUAAAAAAAAUGAAAAUCACUUUUAAAUAUUUAAAAUGCUUAAAUUAGAAGGUAUUUAUAAAUUUAAAAGACACACUCCAAUAAUAUACUUUUUUAUUUCUGUGAGGCGUUUCGUACUCAAGGAGCACAUCAGCUCAUCAACUAAAUAUUGGAUUGUUUGUUUUAAAUUUAUAACUAAUUCCAAUAAGAACGGAGCUUUUAGAAUGUAGAAGGUAUUUGUUUAUUAUAUUUGCAUGUUGAUCAAUUGCAUACAUUCAAAUAACCCCAAUAAUUUUGUUGAUAUAAUAACUUAGAACAAGAGGUUAAGGAAAUAUAGAGGAGAAAUGAUCUGUAAUCCGUGCAUUUUACUAAAUUAAAAGUUUACUGUUUUGAUAAAGUUAAUCGUGUCUUAAUAAAUAAUUACUGUAGACAAUAAUCAGUGUCUUAAAACAAAUGCUAAAUCAGAAUCACUCUCUGUUCUAACUAACAUUAUAAAUGUGAAAGUUUGGCUGUACUAAUACAUAUUUAUAAUACUAUACCUUCUACUGUGCAAAAACUAUCAAAAUAAUUAGUUAAAAUGCUUAAUUUAAACAGUGGAAUAACAUAAAUGCUUAUUUAUGUUUUGAAAUUCCUAUAAGGUUUAGCAUCACUGCCAUUAUUUUUUUUUAUUUAAAUACAUAGUUAUGUCAAAAGUUAUGAGAAAGGUUGAAACAUUUGUUUACAUCAAAGUCCUAAAAGUAAUAUAAUUAUAGCUGUGCACAGUUUUCCCAGAUGAGGUAAUCUAAGAUCCUUUUAAGUCAGAUGUAACCCAUUGGGGUCUUAUAAGUUUAGUCAUGUGGCUGUGAUAGGACUGAAAUGUGACUUACUAGACCCACUUGCCCAACACAACACACUUUCACAACAUUACUGAUUCACUUAGUUGUUUGAAAAUCUACGAGAUCGCUCCCAUAUUAACUUAUACAUUUACAGGUGAUGAGUUUGUUGUAAUAAAACCUUGGUUAUAAUUACCAAGCUAUGAUUUAUGUUUCUUUUUGCCAUAUUUUUGCAUCAUGAUGAACACUGCUGAUUUUACCACUAAAGUCAUCUUUGUUUGUUAUUGUGUAAAUUUUAAAUUUUAGGAUUCAUUUCUGUUAUAACAAUUAUUUGAAUCCAUAAUAUAUUAACAGUGGUAUAGGUAAUUUUACAACAAUCAUUAUGGUUUAAAAAUUAUCUACUAUAGUUUUAUAGCAAUUUAACUAAAUACUACGAGGUCACUCAUAAACUGAUAAUUUAAAGUAUUGUGGCCCUUAACACAUCUUUCUUAGUUGUUAAUUAAUAUUAAAUAUACAUAAAUUAACCCUUCAGCUGCCCCUAAUUUCACCCUGGAAUGAAAAGUACAUAGAAGCUAAGUGUGACACUAUAUAUUUUCUUGUUCAGUAUUAAACUGGCUGUAAAGAGUAACAACAGUUGACUUACUUGAGCUAUCCAAAAUUGUAUCUACCCAAAAAUAAAUUUUUAAAAAUAUUUUACAACAUCUGGAAUAGCGAUUUAGUUCUAAUUUUAUAAUGAAAAAAAAAAAAAUAUAUACAGGUUGUUCAGAAAAGAGCGCCGCAAAUUUCUGUGGCUGAGAGUACUCAUGAUUUCGAAUAAAAAAUUGCUAUAAACAUUG